GAUGAACGCUGGCGGCGUGCUUAACACAUGCAAGUCGAACGCUGAAAACCUGGCUUUGGUCGGGUUGGGUUAGCGGCGGACGGGUGAGUAACACGUGGGUAACCUGCCCUUUUCUCUGGGAUAACGCCGGGAAACGGGUGCUAAUACUGGAUAAUCACUUAUCCUCGCUGGGUGAUUGGUGGAAGGGGGUUUUCCUGUGGGUGAUGGGCUCACGGCCUAUCAGCUAGUUGGUGGGUGGAUGGCCGACCAAGCCAACGACCGGUAGCGGGCCGGAGAGGGUGAUCGGCCACACGUGAACUGAGACACGGGCCACGCUCCUACGUGAGGCAGCAGUAGGGAAUGUUCCACAAUGCGCGAAGGCCGAAAGCAUCAUGGCCGCGUGAGUGAUGAAGGACUUCGGAUUUUGAGUCGCUGUUAUCUGUCGAUAAUAGUUGAGCCGGAAAUGAGGGUUGUGUUGACGGUAGCGGAUCAAGAAGCGCCGGCUAACUACGUG
rnacentral:rRNA from 1 species